UCUAAUGUGGCAGACUAGUGCAGUGGAUUUAAGCCCCAAGUAUGAAGUUUACCCUUUCUUUAGAA
rnacentral:tRNA from 1 species